UCUUGUGAUGCCUUCAGCCUCCCUCCCUAGCAGCUGAUGCACCUCACCCCGGAGGAGGUCUGGGCUUCACUCUUCCAGGUGAACCGGAUAAUCCCCGCAUUGCAGACUGCUGAGCUCUCUGCCUCAGGGGAGGAAGGGAAGAAGAAAUCUUCCCUUCUCUUGCUUACUAAGUCCCCAUUUGUUUGCUGUUACCACCUAGGCUACGUGUAUAAUAGGGGAGAGUCUCCUGACCUGAUGCUGUGUCUUUUUCUCAUGGGCUAAAGUUGGUCACACGAUACAAAUGAAGGUGAUGUCUCUGGCUGUGACGUGGCUGCUUUGGUCCAGCUUGCUUUUAUAUCAGAACUGCAUUAAAACAUAUGGCAGUGAUUUGUGGCAAAUAUUUGCAGAAUAUUAUUUGGUAGUCAAGUUAGUCAGUCUGGAAUAAUUGCGGAAUCUGAUGAAUAUUUAAUUUUUAAAAAUGCCACCAUUUGCAUAAAAUAUUUGCUACAAAUACGUUACUUACAAGCAGAUCCCUAGCUUUUAGCUCUGCUUUGAAUUUGGCAAAGAAAAGGUAUUUUGGUUCCGCAGACAAAAGCUGUAGAGUUCAGUCCUGGCUGAUUAUUUGUAAUGGUUGGCCUAGGUUAUGGGAACUCGUUCAUUUGCUGAGUGUGAUAAAGGAGGUGAAAGACAAAGGUCACUCUAUCUCUGGGAUUAGUUGGGUGAAUUAAAGGGCAUAUGGAAACACAGCUAAUUAGGAUAAGGGCCACACAAAUGCUACCUUCUACUUGCAUGCCUCAGCACUCUGAUGCAGCUCCUGCACAAAGCAAGUAGGAGAAGUAAAAACGCCACGUCCAACAAGCCACUGGCUGAGAACCAGUGAUCAAAGGGCUACAACUUUUCCUCAUGUUUUUUCCUUGCUACCUGCAGUUAUUAACUCCCGUCAAGUGCAGCUGGCUAUGCAGGAAAAGCGAAGGUACCGCUGCAGUAGGUGUCAAGGUUAAUUUAUAUACUGCAAAACUGGAAGCUCUUUUAAAUACUGACUGACAGGCUUACCAGCUCGAACGAGCUGGUUUGCUCCAGGAGUGCUGCCAGGCAGAGGCAUCUCGUUUGAAGAGCACCAGGGUGCAUGCAGCGCCAAAAUGAAUACGGGCAGCAGAGGUGAGAGGACAUCUGGGGAACUGGGGAAAUGUGAGCCAGGUGGCUGGUGCUAAUGGAGGGGGUGAAGCCUGUCGUAGCCCCUUGCCCCUGCCACUUUCACCUGAUGGAUCUGUGCCAGCCCCAUCACUUCAGCAUCUGCAGUGGUGGUAAAGAGCUGGAUACUGCCUGGCAGAAGCCCUUUUGGCACACCGUGUUAAAAACCGCUGGAAGCGCCAAGAGAAACACGAGUGAUGUAGCACAUUCACAUUUGUAAUUUGUCUGCGUCUGAGUGAAGUAUUCAAGGGAGGAACCGGGUGCGUCAGCUCGGGGCUUAGACCAGCUUUUCCUGGGAAAGAAUGCUGCUUACACAAAGUCUACGUGUACAUGGUGUGUAUAGACAUACACACCGUAUGGAGCAGAGGAAGACGUUGCCAUAUGCCUGUGUGCCAUUUACCAGUGUGUAAAAGUAUUUAUUUUUGAUUGAAAACAAAGCAAAAUGAGGUUUGCUUCUGUGUUCUGGCUGCCGUCAGGCCCUCCUCAUCUGCCAUAAGAUAACAGCAAUGGGGAGCUGUUAAGCUGUAUGGAAGCAGUUGGGGAACAGAUGAGGACAAGCUGAAAAAUCCCAGUUGCUUGUCAGGUGUUUGGGAAUAUCUAAGUAAGGGGAAAUUACAAGGGACUCCCAUGCCGAAAGACAUGUAAGCAGUAAAAGCAGAUCUGGAAGUAGAUAUGGUGUAGAUGAAUGGAGCUGGUAAUAAUCUUGCAGGAAAGCGCUCUGGUUAGUAGUCUGUUAGUAACGGGAAAGCCAGUGCUUUGCGGUGAGGGAGAGCUGGAUUACAAGGUUGGAAACAGAGCCUUGGCAGGAUAAACAGCAGCAGCAGUAAAUAAUCUCAGAAUCUCACAUUCAGCGAAAAUUAUAGGCUGGAAGGGACUUCUGGAGGUCAUCUGGUCAAGCUUACCAGAGGUUCACAGCAGAGCUGAUUUCAAAGUACUUAGCUUAAUAGUUCAAAUUAUUGAAAGCAACCCUGGAAAUGAUCUCCAGAGCAUGCCAUUUGAAGAGGCUACAACACAACCAAAAUGUGGUGGCUAGUGUUAUGAUCUAAAGUAAAUCAGUGCCCUGCCAGUCGUGAUUUUUUCAAUAUGGGACACCAAGUGAAGUGUUGAUACUAGGUUUAUACUUCUGGUGGAAAUCCAUUUUUCCCUUCUCAGAAUCACUUGCACAGGCUCUUAAAAGCACCAGUGCUGCUCGUGCAGUGGAAACACAAGUCCUGUGGAGCUUCUUUUCCCAAGAAGCUCUCUAGGAGAGAGCCAAGCACUGCUCCCAAACGUGGAGCCAGAUUCAUUCCAGGUAUGUGUCAGUGUGGCUCCGUUGACUUCUGUGGAACUGCUGCGGCAUAAAAUGAAGAUGAAUCAAGCUUGCAGUCUUCCUUUUGAACUAUGAAUGUCAGUGCUAGCCUAGAGAAAUGCGGUUUUCAAGCUGAUGUGGUUUGACACCAAAUUCUACAGCAAAGAUGCUGGACAGACCGAUGACUGAGUUAGCUCCCCAGGGACAGCGAUGAGUGAUGGGCAGGCACUUAUUUUCUUGCAUAGAGGCGUUCACUGUUCAGGCUUAGUAACAUCCAGAACUGAUUGAUCUUCAUGAAGGGUUGCAGUUUGGGCCCUGUGCCACAGAAAUCCCUCCCUUUACUCUCUGCAUUACUCAUCUUCCGGAGGGCCUUUUGCUCUCAGUUGCUGCUGCUGUUUCUGGAAAGCAUCCUACUGCAGAGCCUGUGGAGAGCGUGCACCUUCCGUCAUGCAACGAAAAAGGCCAGUCACAAGUUCGUGUUGUCAAGUCCACAAGCAAAACAGUCUGAAAACAGAGAAGAAUGAUACUUUUCCUAAAUCUUCUGAGCAUGGUAAGGAUUUUGUAUAAACUGAAACAGGUGCAGUACUCUCAGCAGGAAAAACGGUAUUUCUAAUGUGAAAAAUAACUCUGCUCUCCUCACUGAAAGCUCUGGGGUUGUGGGCCUGCAGGCACCUCAUGUUAGGGCUCUUCACAUCCAUCUUGGGCCUCGGUGGCUGAGGGGGGAGGUCACUGCUCUGGUCACCGAACCCUCCAGUCACUACUUCAGGCUCCACUUCAGAAGGGUGGUGCUGGAUGAAGGCAUUCCCCAGUCUCGUGUUUUCCACUUCUCAAAACCCAAGAAUGAUGAAGCACAUUUUGUUUCACGGCAGCACUCCAAGCAGAGCACCCUGCUGGGUGUAACGUGUGUGUGGCAUGGAGAUGCGACACGUGGUACUAAGAGGGCAAGCAAAGCUGUCAUCUCAUUUCAGGCAAGACCCUGCUUAGCCUUCAGGUAAUAAAUUUCAUCUACUAGUGGCUAGGAUUUGAUAUGUGUAAGCUGUAAUAACAUACUGCUCAAAUUAAUGAAGUCCUGCUUCCAGUACUCUGGGCUAACCAUAGCUUAACUCUUAAGGGCUCUACUCUGGGCUUAACUGUUUGAUGGGGUUGUUACAAUUCAGAUUAUAAACAACAGCAACCUCAUAAUCAUGAAAAAUAAAACCACCAAGUGUUACAGAGUAAAUUUUCAUUAUGGAUUCUGUAAUACUUGGUAAACAUUUGUUGGAAAAGCUCAUAAUUCAGGCCUUUUUUUAACACAAGUAACAAACAAAUUAUAGUAAUUUUCAAAAGCAUCUAGAAACAACAAUUGUGAGACUGUCUGAAGCUAAACAAAUCCUAAUGAGAUGCAGUGGUAGCAACAGCAAGACAGACAGGAAAUCUAUACAGAUAAUUAAGAAAUUAUCCAUUUGGGAAAAAGUUUAACUAUCUUUUACCUUCUCAUCUGUGGAAGCCAAUGCAUGCAACUUGUUCUGCCUUCUCAAAUCUUCCCUGCCUCCAAUUAUUUAACAAUAACAUAGGAAUUGCUGCGGUGUUAGGAGGCAUUUGGGAAUACAGCAGCAGAACCCCAGGAUUGGUUGGUGCACUAUCUAGCUGACUCUUCUAUUGGCAGAGCUAAAGUCCUAGUACAAAAUACCAGCCCCAGGGGUAAACAAACUUAGAAAAAGACUUUAAGAACAUUUUUUCACAAAUAAUGCUAUGAUACAUACGAUGGCUAAGAGAAGCAGAAUAAUAAGCGCCAGCAAACUCAUGAGUCCUGUCCUGAUUUGGUUUGCACUGUGCCUAGAAUUGGUUUUACCCACUCUGUGCUUUCAUUCUUUCCUGAUAGUAUGAAACCCAGUGAUUUUGUUAUACAUGUUUCACACAGAUAAGAUGUAAUCAAUAAAAUCUCAGCUACAGCUACCUGUAAAAUAGAAGGAUCUUCUGGUAUAUAGAAAAAGGUAAGAAAGAAAGGUUAAAUGUCCUCCUGCAAAUGUUAUUCUCGGUAAGAUGUAGUGAUCCUUGAAAAAAUAAGUGAAAUACAUAAUGCACGCAUAUGAGAGAGCUUCUGUUAUUAUACAGAAUGUAAUGCUGCUUCACUGAGGCUUACUGCUGCUGCAGUAAGUUUAUUUGAAAUAAAAAUGACCCAAGAUAAUGAAGCAAUUGAAGCCCAAGAGUUGUGUCUGGGGUGCUUAGGCUAGAGCGGUUUGGGGACCGAAGAGAAAACAAAGGAAUUUCCAUAAUCUGGGUUUAAAAAGAAAGAUGGAAAAGUUCUGUGGGAAUGUCUGCCAUAGUCCCUCCCUGGGACUAUGGUCCCAUUGCCAUGGUGGGACCCCGAUACAUUUCUACAGUACAUCGUUCUGCUCCUCAGAGGAAGGAGGAUCUGGUAGACAGCUUUAACUAGUAAACUCUGCCUUUUAGCACAUCCCAAGAAAAAUCAAUACAUUUUCUUUUGAGGGAGUGAAUCCUUGGGAUUCCUCUUCUUUUUCUACUGUUCCACUCUUUCCCACCACUCUUCCCCCUGCCUCUCCAAAAUUAGACACUAGAAGCUGAAAGUUGUCAGAUAUGUAAAGAUAAACUAUUGCAUCAUUGUGUUGGUGUUAGACUCCCUCCUCCCAGCACAGAAGGGAGAUCAGAGCCGCACAGUGCGAUGCAUAUUGCUGGGAUUGCACAAUGACCCUAAAUUGCCAUUCUAAUGCAAAUAAAAUAUACGAAUGAUGUCACCCCUGAUGAAUGUAAAACCGAGCCGAGCAAAUAUGGAAAUGCCAAUAAAAUGCUAAAUGCCUUUUUCUAGGAUAAUAAAGACUUGCAAAUUUGCCUCCAUUUUUAGGAAGUAAGAAGGAAAAAAUGCAGUGACACAAGCAUAUUUUAUCUGAAGUGGUUCUUUAUCAAAUGUAAUUAUGCUAAGAUAUAUCCUUAUACAGCCUCACUUCAGGAGAUGGAGGGCCUUUCAUUUGUCAUUGAGAAGUCAAAAGUAAAGAAGUCAUAUGGCGGUAUGAAGGAAUGGAUGAGGAGGGACCCUGCAUGAGAUUUCAGGGCUUGAGUCUUUCUCAGAUUUGUGGCCAAGUUCUCUGUGAGCAGCUCCUCAGGUUUAUCUGGAUGCAUUAAAUUACUUUGAUUGGGCACCUCUUCAUAAUAAAUUCUUCAAAACAGUGAGAUUGGUCACCUGUCAAUGACCUAGAAACUUUCUGGGCCAUCUCUUCUUUCAAGAAUAUUCCUCAAAGACUUCUUUAAACUAUGUUAGAAUAGUUAGAAUAGUGAAAUGCUGCUUAUGCUAGCUAUGGACUGCUUUUUUUUUCAGGUCUUUCCAUGGUUGCCUUGCUGUGUGAAUCAUUUAAACUGGGUGAGAAAGUGUGAUUGUCAUGCAAGUUGAGUUAUACAAGUACCUAACUUUUUCUGCACAGAGAUGGCGCGUAGUGGACGAAGACUGCUGGGAGGCCUCAGUUUAUGCUUUUUGCUGAAUAAGUAAUCUGGUCAAUCUAACACACCUUUUUUCCAGACUUUGCUCUAAAUGAUAUAUUUUCUUUAUAAGAGUUCAUGGAUAUUCAAUGGCAUUUUUUUUGUAUGUAGCGGAUGGAGCGGGGACAAGAGGGACUUUCAGAAUUCUGCAGGGCUAGACACUGAGGGCUGCAUUUAUCAUUUCAGUUUUUAGUGGGUCCUCAGGAUGCCUGCUGCUGCCUUGCUCACUUGUAAUUACCACCUCCUUAGUCCCUAGGUCUGCAAGAGGCUGUUCGGAUCAUCUCAAUGUCUUCAGGUCUGUGUCGUUCCUGACAGCUGUUUGUCUGCUUCCUAAAAACCUCUGGUGACAGCGAUUGCACAGUUGGCCUAGGAAAUAUAUUCCACUCCUCUCCUACUCUUCCUGCUUUUUUCUCCUUACAUCUAACCCAGAUGUCUGCUGCGACAACUUAAUUAUUCCUUAAUCGCUCCCAUUACUUCUUGUCCAAUCCUCUUUAUUCGUGGAGGAAGGUCUCUUUCUCUUUGCAGUGAUCUUUCGCAUACUCUUGGCUUAACAUUGUGAAAGUUGCAUGGGAUAUCCGAGCUAAAUCCCCAGCAAAUCCUUCAGCAGCAUGGGGAGACAGGGCGAGCUUAAGACUUCUGGGAGGACUCUUCCGACGAUGCAGGGUGUGGGAGUCAUCUCUAACCACUGUCACAUUCUUGACUUCUUCUGACUGCCAAAAAGAAACACAUUUUGGAUCAGAUUGUCAUCUUGCUUAUUCUAGUUUUACGCUGUAAACAGCUCAGUGAAGUGACCCCUAAUAUGAAUGAAAGGGUUUAAGGUGGUGAAGCUCCUUGCUGCCUGCCACCCCAGAGAGCGAGGCUGCUCCUGGGAAGUGUUUGCAUGCCCGGCGUUAAGCAGUAACAGCAACGCCCGUAUCUCUGGCUUCGGCGUUGGUGGUAAAACACUCUACUUCCCUAUCUUGUGGUUUUAAGUAUGUCUGGAGUUCAGCUUUCCAAAGUUUUGCGUUACGCCGUGGCUUUCAAAGAGACAACGUCCUGAAGCAGAUGAAAUGCAGGACCCCAAGGUUUAUUGCGUGGCUCACUGCUGUGUGAACGGGACCAGCAUUCGACCGACCCGAAAGUGAUGCGAGCUGAGGGGCCGGGGAAGGGGCGGGAGGAGCAGGGGGGAAGGUGGGAGUCUGGGGCUGGGAGAAAAUGGGACGGUUAAGCAUGAACCCAAAGCUGCCACCCUGCCCUGAUUAAUUUAACAACAAUUAAAGACUUUUCAGUGGAGAUCAGCGUUCUGCUGGUUCCCAGCCAGGCUGAGAAGGAUGAGUUGUGCAACGGUAACGGGGCCCUAUUCAUCACAGGCAACGCACACAGCAAUUACCCCUGCUGUCUAUAGACUGAAGCAGACUUUUUCAUUAAUUGAUUUACUGGGACCUUUUAUCCCCUUUCUCUUUUGUUUCCUCCUUUCGCCUCUGUGUUUUUGUUUGAAGCCCAGGCUCGUUUGGCCACAAUGCACAGCGGUGCCCGGCCACAGGGGACAUGUCCUUGGGAUGUAGGGUGGAGCUGCCUGGUUUUGAGACACUGCUCUGCCACUGUCCCAUCCCUCCCAGGCUGUUUCCCAGGGUGCUGCCUGCCAGACGGUUUUUCUUCUGAAAUCCACUGUAGUAAGCAAAAUGGAUCAGACAUCUGCUCUUUCUCCCUCCCUCCCUUCCCCACACCUCUCCUUGCACUCCUCUGUUUUCAGCGGUGAGGUCGUUUGCCUCUCAUUUCACGCUGGAUACGGGAGAGAAAUCUCAUUAUUUCUGACUUAGGUAUUCACAUGUGUCUCUCUACAACAUGUCAUGCCAGUUGCCUGCUUGUUACAACAUCACAAGAAGAAUUCAAAGUGCUGAUUUAUCUGCUAUUGGAAAUGUCUCUGGGAAUGAAAGGAGAUAUGUGAAGGAGGGGGAGAGGCAGAGAAGAACACGGGAGGCAGCACAGGACUGCAGCUCCACAGGGCAAGACUCUAGCCUUAUCUUACUUUGCUUGCUUAUUUGCUGCAGUUCUGCUAGCUGGACAGGCAAAAUGAUCAAUGGGAUGUGAAAUAACCAAGGAUGUAAUGGGCAGGAAGCUUUUAUAUCUGUAGAAGGAAAACUGUGAGAGAAAGAUGCUACUAUGUCUGUCUGGUAGAUGUUGAACAAAAAGAAAAAUAUAUAAAA